ensembl:snoRNA LOC120097606 small nucleolar RNA SNORA17
CCUGCCCCAGAAGCAAUGCACAUGUGGCUGCUGUGUCACGUGUACAUCAGGAGGUGGUGGGGAGGAGAGAGGCUAUGUCUGAGCUCAGUAUUCCAGCCUGGGAAUGUCUGAAUGAUUAGCAGCCUAACACC